UGCUAGGAAAGGGGACAUUCAAAGGAAAAACAUUAGUCGGAAUUGAAUUUAACACAUUCUUACCCUUAUUGGAUGAAUUGGACAGAUUUGGAGCCAUGGGGGCCAUGGACACUUGCGGCACAGGUGUGUCCAUCCUUGCCGUGGGUGGGCUUGAUUCCUCCUCUUCCAUUUGCAACAUUUCAUCCUCUUUGGGACCUGUUUUUGAUGAAGAACCUACCCCAACCUCCUUACCACUUCUUAGGGUGAUUGCUUUGGCUGAUUCAAACCCUCCCUUUGGAUUUGGAAUGGUAGAACUAGGGAGCCUUCCUUGGUCUCUAAUCUGCCCAACAACCUCGGCAAUCUGUCCCAUUUGUUUCUCUAGUUGGUCCACCCUUUUGUUUUGAUU
rnacentral:lncRNA from 1 species